GGCAGUUUUUGUGGGGCGCAAUCCUCCUAAAGAGUAACGGAGGAGUUUAUUAAGGUCGGCUUGGGCAGGAUGGACAUCUGCCUGAAAGUGUAAAGGCAUAAGCCGGCUUAACUGCAAGGUUGACAGACCACGCAGGUGCGAAAGCAGAACUUAGUGACCCGAUAUGUCGUUGUAGAAGGCAUAAAGACACCGGAUAAAAGCUACUCCGGGGAUAACAGGCUGGUUCCGUCCGAGCGUCCCUAGCGACGACGGAGCUCGGCACCUCGAUGUCGGCUCACCACAUCCUGGGGGUGAAGAAGCUCCCAAGGGUUGGGCUGUACGCCCAUUAAAGUGGUACGCGAGCUGGGUUCAGACCGUCGCAAGACAGGUCGGUCUCUAUCUGCCGUGGGCGUUGGAUAUUUGAGAGGGGCUGCUCCUAGUCAUGACGAGAGGACCGGAGUGGACGUACCUCUGGUGUACCAGCUUUCCUGCCAAGGGAACCGCUGGGUAGCUAUGUACGGUUUAGAUAAGCACUGAAAGCAUCUAAGUGCGAAGCUAGCCUCAAGAUUAGAUAUCCUUAUUAGAUCUCUGGAAGACUACCAGUUCAGCCCGCUGCUUUGCAGCGGUGAUAGGCGUUAGGUGGAAGAUCAGCAAUGAUUUGAGCCAAGACGUACUAAUGAUC
rnacentral:rRNA from 1 species